AAAAAAUUAUAUUAUUUAUAAAAAGUGUUACGAAAGAUUUGGACAAUUUAUAAAACCUUUAAUUAUUAUUAUAAAUGUUAUAUAUUAUAAAUUUUAUAUUAACUUUUACUUCAUUUACGUAUUAUAAAGAGAGAUAUAACUUAACAUAAGGUUUUAAAAAAAAUUAAGUUUAUAUAAUAUAUUAUAAUUAAAGCUACAAAUUAUUUAGACUGUAAACCCAAAUAUUAUAAAGUCAAUGUUAAUUCUGCAAAUUAAAAAGGUUUUGUUGCACCAUAUUGCGG
rnacentral:lncRNA from 1 species